AGUCGGAAACCGCAGCGCGGGGAGCAAUCCUUGGGNGGCGAAGUGGCGAACGGGGUUGAGUAAAACAUNGGAACGUGCCCAAUCGUGGGGGGAUAACGCAGCGAAAGCUGUGCUAAUACCGCAUACGAUNUACGGAUGAAAGCAGGGGAUCGCAAGACCUUGCGCGAAUGGAGCGGCCGAUGGCAGAUUAGGUAGUUGGUGAGGUAAAGGCUCACCAAGCCUUCGAUCUGUAGCUGGUCUGAGAGGACGACCAGCCACACUGGGACUGAGACACGGCCCAGACUCCUACGGGAGGCAGCAGUGGGGAAUUUUGGACAAUGGGCGCAAGCCUGAUCCAGCCAUGCCGCGUGCAGGAUGAAGGCCUUCGGGUUGUAAACUGCUUUUGUACGGAACGAAACGGCCUUUUCUAAUAAAGAGGGCUAAUGACGUUACCGUNAGAAUAA
rnacentral:rRNA from 1 species